AGAAUCAACGCUGGCGGCGUGCCUAACACAUGCAAGUCGAACGAGAAAGUGGGAGCAAUCCCACGAGUAAAGUGGCGCACGGGUGAGUAACACGUGACUAACCUACCCUUGAGUGGGGGAUAACCUAGGGAAACCUGGGCUAAUACCGCAUAAUACCUACGGGUCAAAGGAGCAAUUCGCUUAAGGAGGGGGUCGCGGCAGAUUAGUUAGUUGGCGGGGUAAUGGCCCACAAGACAGUGAUCUGUA
rnacentral:rRNA from 1 species